UACGUAGGGGGCUAGCGUUGUCCGGAAUCAUUGGGCGUAAAGCGCGCGUAGGCGGUCAGGAAAGUCCGGUGUGAAAGUCAUAGGCCCAACCUAUGGAUGCCGCUGGAAACUGCCUGACUUGAGUCCGGAAGGGGCGAGUGGAAUUCCUGGUGUAGCGGUGAAAUGCGCAGAUAUCAGGAAGAACACCCGUGGCGAAGGCGGCUCUCUGGGACGGUACUGACGCUGAGACGCGAAAGCGUGGGGAGCGAACAGG
rnacentral:rRNA from 1 species